UUCGAAGAAACAAAAGACACCCUACCUCCUCUCUCUCUCUCGAUCGACCGCAGGAGCUAUUGGCGAACACUACAGAGAGGUGCGGAUCGGCGAACACGGCUUUGUAAUCUGAGAGCAGCAGUGAUUCGUCGUCGGUUGCGGGUUUAGAGGUGUAGAUUCAAGCAGAGAUUGGCCAGGCAUGGGCCAGAUCUGGCACAGUUGGCGGACCAGGUCGAAUGUUUUUUAUUUGUAAGUUAAUUAUAAUUAUCAUGAACAUUAAAUAUUUAAUACAAAUAUGACUUUUAAUAUUAAUGUCUUGAUUAAUAAAAUUAUCUAAAUUUUUUCCCCUGUUUUUUAAAUAUUUUUUUAUAUAAGUUUCCCUUUUAUUGAAUUUUAGUUAUUUUAUAAAUUUAGAUUUAAAUUAUUGAAUACUUAAAUUAAUAUAUGAGCCUGCGGGAUCGAGCUAGGUUAACACAAGCAAAGUUCAUCCUGGGUCUAGAUUAUUUAGGUGUGGCAAACUGCCCAACAGGCCAUGCCGAGCAAGGCUCGUUUCAAGCUAGGUGAAGUCUAAGUCGAGCAUUGAAUAGAAAAGAAAUUGGUUCAUUAGGCCUAUGUCAUGCCCGAUUCAAGCAUGGUCCGUUGAGACAUCUAGUUAGGUUUGAUUGGUGUAGUCUUGACUUAGCAACCCAAAGCAUGUCAGCCAACUCAUUUGAUGCCUCAAUUGACUUUAUUGGAGCAAAAGGUGAAAUCGUCACCUUCGCAACCCCUCCAGGGCCACCCCACAUUCUUUCAAAGGAGGUAAAUCACGGGGGCAUUUAUCCUAGCACAAGGCCCUUUGCAUGGGGAGGUAAGGCAACCUCAAUUGCCUUUAUUGAACCUUCUAUCAACACCACUUUCACUGCUUGCAUAUUUUGUUGAUGACAGACAUGAUCAGUCCUUAAAGACACAGUCAGGCCCCUUUUGUUGAAACAGUAUCAAUCUAAUGGAAUGGACAAUUUGGUUCACACUUGAAAAAAAAGAAGAAAACAGAAAAAGAGAGUAUCAGUGUAUAUCUUACCUGUGUGAAUCAUAUGUAGACUGAAAAAAGUUUCUCUAAAAUUGUGACUCUUGAAAAGCAUUGCGAAACCCU